ACACGAGGAAGGAGGUGGUCCUGAGUUGAGUAUUUCUCGGACACGUGAGGUGGCUGGCCGCUAGGCCGCACCGACCGAAAGGGCCCUCCAGUCCUCGUCGAGGAACUGCGGUCCAGCAAUUCACGGACAGUCACCCGACCCCCGGCGCCGCCGACCCCGUCCAAUCGGCCCCCCGCGAGCAUCGCGAGGGAAACGGCCCGGGGGUUGUCCGUG
rnacentral:sRNA from 1 species